rnacentral:rRNA from 1 species
GACGAACCGAGCGAACGUUGUUCGGAAUAACUGGGCUUAAAGGGCGCGUAGGCGGGCCGCCCGGUCCGAGGUGAAAUCCUCCGGCUCAACCGGAGAACUGCCUCGGAUACCGGCGGCCUGGAGGGGUAGGGGCACGCGGAACUGUGGGUGGAGCGGUGAAAUGCGUUGAUAUCCACAGGAACUCCGGUGGCGAAGGCGGCGUGCUGGACCCACCUGACGCUGAGGCGCGAAAGCCAGGGAGCAAACGGG